GGCUCGGUGGUGGAUAGUACUACGCCUGCUUUCAGUAGUUCAAUGCGUACGAAAGAUUAAGCAGGAGAAGCCCGUUCGAUUCGGGCCUGAGCCA